GAGUCUCCUCUUUCAUUGCACCUGUUCUUCGUUGAACCGGAGACGGCCGGCGGGGCCGGGUCAGCGGAUCGGGCCGGCUAACGUUAGGUCCAAUUUGGAAGGGUUCAAUGCGCUGGUCUGGAUCAAACAGCUCAUGUUCACGGAGCGGGGGAAGAGGCACUUACGAGGAGUAUAGCGUUCAUUUUUACUACCAAUAGUGCUAUAGUGACUGUAGCAGAAGCGAUGAAUAAUUAAUGAUUAAAUAAACAUUAUCUCUAAGAAA